AUUGAACGCUGGCGGCAGGCCUAACACAUGCAAGUCGAACGGUAACAGGAAGAAGCUUGCUUCUUUGCUGACGAGUGGCGGACGGGUGAGUAAUGUCUGGGAAACUGCCUGAUGGAGGGGGAUAACUACUGGAAACGGUAGCUAAUACCGCAUAACGUCGCAAGACCAAAAAGGGGGACCUUCGGGCCUCUUGCCAUCGGAUGUGCCCAGAUGGGAUUAGCUAGUAGGUGGGGUAACGGCUCACCUAGGCGACGAUCCCUAGCUGGUCUGAGAGGAUGACCAGCCACACUGGAACUGAGACACGGUCCAGACUCCUACGGGAGGCAGCAGUGGGGAAUAUUGCACAAUGGGCGCAAGCCUGAUUCAGCCAUGCCGCGUGUAUGAAGAAGGCCUUCGGGUUGUAAAGUACUUUCAGCGGGGAGGAAGGGAGUAAAGUUAAUACCUUUGCUCAUUGACGUUACCCGCAGAAGAAGCACCGGCUAACUCCGUG
rnacentral:rRNA from 1 species